ensembl:antisense Gm15886 predicted gene 15886
AGAGGCAAGGACUACAGAAAACCGCAGGACUUAAACUAACGGAAAGGGAACAUCUUUAACAAGCACAAGGCCCUGCAUUUGAUCCUAUGGACAUGAAAACCCUGGUCCUACUCUGUAUAAGAAGGCCUUUUUCAGUUUUAAAGCUGCUUGGUUGUUUCUGAAGGACGGUUACCGAACACCUGCACACUCCGAGACUGCGGCAGAGCUGACAAGCUCCGCCAGAGCUGAUCCCGCGCAUCCCCAGUCAAGUGAGCAGGACGGCACCAGCCCUUCAACACCGAUGGCAUGCGGGGCACUGGUUUAAGGUCAGCAUGAAUCAGACCAAGACUCUUCAGCUUCAUCAGGGCUGUGGCCACCUGCUGCAAGAUUGGUCUUAUGUACUUGAGUGGCAGUGGGCUAAACUUGUUCUGCUUUAGAAAAUCGUACAAGUUCUGCUCCAACAUCUCAAACACAAGGCAGGACUUCAUAGCUGUUGGUCAUAGAGCAAAGGAUCUCAUGCUGGACCAGCUGGUAAUCCCCUUCUCCGCUGGAACUGCUACUCUUGGUGGUCACAGUGGUGGUCGUGGCAGCAGCACCCACCACGGUUCUGUUCUGCAGCAUGAGAGGGGGGUGUUCUUCUAUGAUCUGCACGCUGCCGUUGCUCUCCACUUCCUCACUCUUUCUCUUCAAUCCACAUUUUUGAUAUGGCUCAAGCAAAGAAACGUUGCUCCUGUGAGUCAGGGUCUGGCUGCUUUGGAAGGUUGCUGUAGCAGCGCUGCCUGAGCUAUCAGCAGCUGUUACCACAAUAUGCUCCACGGCAGGAGCUGGGAGAAGGAGGCCCUGGUCGUAAGCAGGAAUAUUGAAAUUUGCUACCUGUUUCUUUGCACUGCAGAAGGCACUCGACGACACUGAUGGGGGCGAAAACACCUGCAGCUGUGAGGCCAUACCUACACGGAGAGAAGGAAGAAUGAGACCACAGGGCUCACGAUGCGAAGCUCACCAACAGCUCAUGUGAGAACAGGUGUAGCUGAUAAGACCACACUGUACUGUCUCCCUCCUCUCAAAGGAGGAAGAUCUGGUUUGAUUUUAAAUCUCAUUACUGAUCAACUUGCUCUAAAAUCUGUAAACUACAAUGUCCAGAGAUCAACUGUUCAGGACGCUAUCAAAAAAAACGACCUGCCAACCAGCGCCAACAUUUUUGUCAGCUGCUUUACCGGUUUGGCAGCCUCUAGCUUCAAUCUCAAAAACUUUACCGAAAUAUUCUUCAAACC